GGCUAGAUUAGCCGGUUAUGACUGGUCAGGACCGGCCUGGUACUCGCACUGAUAAUGCUGAGGUCGCUGGUUCGAUUCCAGCUAGCCC
rnacentral:tRNA from 1 species